UCUCAGUUGGUGAACCAGCGGAGGGAUCAUUACCGAGUUUACAACUCCCAAACCCAAUGUGAACCAUACCAAACUGUUGCCUCGGCGGGGUCACGCCCCGGGUGCGUCGCAGCCCCGGAACCAGGCGCCCGCCGGAGGGACCAACCAAACUCUUUCUGUAGUCCCCUCGCGGACGUUAUUUUUACAGCUCUGAGCAAAAAUUCAAAAUGAAUCAAAACUUUCAACAACGGAUCUCUUGGUUCUG
rnacentral:misc_RNA from 1 species